GUCCUCUGCAAUAGCCCAUAUACUAAAAUUAGAACCAUACACAGAUUAGCAUUGCCUCUGAACAAAGAUAACACACACACUCAUGAAGCAUUCCAUAUUUUU